GAACGAAGCUGGUUAGAGGCUCUUAGUAUUUUGGCGAUAUCCGGCAGCGCUGCCACAAGGAUGUGGCAACGAGGCACAAUGGAACAUGGAUGUGACUUUGUGCCGUCUGCCGCCGUAUCCAUAAUAUCUGCAAAAUACUUAGAGCCUCUUAACAGCAAAGUGG
rfam:Roseburia sp. CAG:45 genomic scaffold, scf89